rnacentral:rRNA from 1 species
GCGCGAAACCUUUACAAUGCACGAAAGUGUGAUAGGGGAACUCAGCGUGCUUAUGUUUAACAUAGGCUUUUCUUUAGGGUAAAUACCUAAGGGAAUAAGGGAUGGGCAAGACCGGUGCCAGCAGCCGCGGUAACACCGGCGUCCCGAGUGGGAAUCGCAUAUUAGGCCUAAAGCGUUCGUAGUUGGCUUUCUAAAUUUCUCGUGAAAUCGUUGCGCUUAACGUAACGUCGUGCGGGAAACACUGGAUAGCUAGGGACCGGGAGGAGUGAGGAGUAUUCUGGAGGGAGCGGUAAAAUGUGAUAAUCUUCAGAGGACUACCUGUGGCGAAGGCGCCUCACUAGAACGGGUUCGACAAUCAGGAACGAAGGCUAGGGGAGCAAACCGG